rnacentral:lncRNA from 1 species
CACAUGGUGGAUGUCGUAUGUUGUGAUGGAAGAUGCAGUGCCCACGAAGGUCGAUGCAGUGAGCCUCUGCUGAAUGCAGUGUGCCUGCAGUGCAACUUCAGCAAUAUCCAGUGUCCCUACAGUGGUUGCAGUGCGCACUGCAUUGGCCGAGAACAUGGAUGAAGUGCCCAGGCAUUGGAUGCAGUGUCCCACAAGGUGCAUGCAGUAUGUUGUGACAGAGGAUGCAGUGCCCAUGUAGGUGGAUGAAGUGUUCCAGCAGUUGUUGCAGUGCACCCUGCUGUGUCCCUGAAUGUGUAUGCUGUGAACAUGCAGUGGAUGCAGUGAUCCUGCAGUGAUGGCCGUGAGCCUGCAUUUCCACAUCAGCUGGAAGCAGUGUCUGUGCAGGCGUUGCAGUGAAGACUUCUGUGUCCCUGAAGGUGAAUGCAGUUCCGAUGCAGUGGAUGAAGUGUACCUAAUGGUUUAUGCAGUAUGUUAUGACAGAGGAUACAGUGUCCAUGAAGGUGGAUGCUGUGUCCCUGCAGUGCUUGCAGUGCCCCCAGCAUUGUCCUGGAAUAUCUAUGCAGUGGUCAUGCAGUGGAUGCAGUGUCUAAGAAGGCAGAUGCAGUAUGUUUUGUCGGAGGAUGCAAUUCCCAUCAAGGUGGAUGCAGUGAUCCUGCAGUGGUUGCAGUGCGCCUGCAUUGCCACAAAGCUGGAAGCAGUGUCCCUGCAGGGGUUGCAGUGCCACCUUCUGUGUCCCUGAGGGUGAAUGCACUGCCCAUGCAGUGGAGGCAGUGUACCUAAAGAUUUAUGCAGUAUGUUGUGACAGAGGAUGCAGUGCAAAUAAAAGUGGAUGCACUGUCCCUGCAGUGGUUGCAGUGGCCCUGGCAUUGUCCUGGACGUGGAUGCAGGGCCCAUGCCGUGGAUGCAGAGUGCCACAGAGUGGAAGCAGUAUGUUGUGAUGAAGGAUGCAGAGCCCACGAAGGUGGAUACAAUGAGCCUGCAGUGAAUGCAGUGCGCCUGCAGUGUCACUUCAGCGUGAUGCAGUGUUGCUGCAGUGGUUGCAGACCCAAGUGAAGUGUCCCUGAACGUGGAUGCAGUGCCCAUGCAGUGGAGGCAAUGUACCACAAUGUGCCUUAAGUAUGUUGUGAUGGAGGAUGCAUUGCCCAUGAAGGUGAAUGCAGUGAUCCUGCAUUGCUUGCAGUGCCCCCUGCAGAUUCCAUAAAUGUGGACGAACUUCCCAUGCAAUGGAUUCAGUGCCCCACAAGGUGGAUGAAGUAUGUUAUGACGGAUGAUGCAUUGCCCAUGAAUGUGCAUGCAGUGUUCCUGCACUGGUUAUCGUGCCUCCUUCUGUGU